GAUUGGAAAAGUUGAUAUGCGCUACCGGUGGUCAAAAUUUGCAACUAAAUAAACAGGACGGAAAGAACCAGCGCCACCUUGUUGUGAGAACACACACGUCAAGCUGUCAAAACGUCAAAACAUCCGACAUCUUGAUUUUGUUGGGUAAGCACUUUCCCUCGCAUUUCAUUUCAUUUCAUCGUUCUCAUCGUUCAUAAAAGGAUAAUUUUGUGGACUUACAUUAAACUUGCAAAAAAUAAACAAUAUUAAAAGCGUGAAAAAGAAAAAAAGAUAUUUAAAAAAUUAAUAAUAUACAUAUGUACAUAAAAAGUAAAAAAAAAAAGUCAUACAAUUCAAAGUGUGGUUUUUGAAUGCCGACGUUGUCGCAUUGUCCAGUGGAUGCAAUCCAUUAAGCAAUAAGCAAUAUCAAUCAAAAGCAUUGAUUAUUUAAAAUAAAAAUAAAUACAAACUGCUACUGCGGUGGACUAUUGUGAAGGAUUACACACAUAUAUAAAAUAACAUUAAACUUUAUACCCAAACUAAGACUGAGCCUCCGAAGGAAAUUUUGAAUACAGUAUAUAGUCAUAAAUCCUCAUCUCAUUGGCAUCCUUGAGCACCAGCAACAGCAGCAGGCGAAUAAAGAUUGGGCCAUGACUACACAGUGUUGUUCCAAUUUUACAUUUUCAUCCCUCUUGCCAACAAC